GCGGCCGAUUAGGUAGUUGCUGGGGUAACGUCCCAACAAGCCGAUAAUCGGUACGGGUUGUGAGAGCAAGAGCCCGGAGAUGGAUUCUGAGACACGAAUCCAGGUCCUACGGGGCGCAGCAGGCGCGAAAACUUUACACUGCGCGAAAGCGCGAUAAGGGGACCUCGAGUGCGUGCGCAAUGCGUACGCUUUUCAGAUGCCUAAAAAGCAUGUGGAAUAAGGGCCGGGCAAGACCGGUGCCAGCCGCCGCGGUAACACCGGCGGCUCAAGUGGUGGCCGCUAUUAUUGGGCUUAAAGGGUCCGUAGCCGGACCAGUUAGUCCCUUGGGAAAUCUUACGGCUUAACCGUAAGGCUGCCAAUGGAUACUGCUGGUCUUGGGACCGGGAGAGGUAAGAGGUACCUCAGGGGUAGGAGUGAAAUCCUGUAAUCCUUGAGGGACCGCCAGUGGCGAAGGCGUCUUACUAGAACGGGUCCGACGGUGAGGGACGAAAGCUAGGGGCACGAACCGGAUUAGAUACCCGGGUAGUCCUAGCCGUAAACGAUGCGAGCUAGGUGUCACGUGGAUUGCGAAUCCAUGUGGUGCCGAAGGGAAACCGUGAAGCUCGCCGCCUGGGAAGUACGGCCGCAAGGCUGAAACUUAAAGGAAUUGGCGGGGGAGCAC
rnacentral:rRNA from 1 species